UAUGGAUUCUUUAGAUCAUUCCGGAUCUGUGGAUGUCAAUUUUGUCGAGACCACCAGGACCACCCGUCCGCCAUUUUGAAUUUUGUCAUAAAUUGCUAUAUCUUUUGAUCUAUUGUACAUAUCUUCACAAAAAUCGAUAGGCAUCAUCAACACCAUGUGCCUGAGGUACCCCGGAAGUUAGAAGACAGCGCCACCUAGUGUUCAAGAGAUAUAACGAUUCUUGCAAAACCCCUUAUAACUACUGUAAAUGUUGAUCAAUUUUUGUUAUUUUUAUGUCAUUUUAUUCCUUUGGUUAUGCCGAAUCUGAUGAUGUCUCAAUUGUCAUUUUCCAACAUGGCGUCUGUCCGCCAUAUUGAAUGGAAUGAAAUACAGUUUUUUCGCUACUCCUCCCUGAAAUCUUAUUCAAUUUUGUUCAAAAUUUUAUCAGAUGGACUUCAGACCGGGCCUGACAGAAAUGACUGAACAGAUUUUUGAUAUUCACUCCCGUUCCCGACAUGUACUGCUCUGAAGUUGACCGUGCCUGUGCUUGUUGAUUUAUGCUAGUUAGCUUAGCAUGCUAAUUAGCUAAAAUGCUAACACGUUUCUAUUGACUCUAAUGGGUCUCCUGAGCUAUCUGGUUAACUUUGAGCAACGUUAGCAUUUUUUAGCGUAGCAUGCUAAUCUGGCUAAAAUGCUGCUUCGGGCUUUUGAGAGUUCAUUCUCACACCUUAACCUCUCUUCUGUGCCAUGCGAACUGUGUGUCAACUAAUGUGGCGCACUUCGCUAAGGCACUCGUCCCAAACCCGAGAGGUCGUGGGAUCGAAUCCGGGGUGGGUAAUGUCGAUCCGAUGGAAGUUCCGUUUUGGCCGUUUUGCUUCGUCCC